GAAAACAUGGAGCCUACCCACGGACCCAAGGGAAACUGGUGACAAAGCAAGUAUCUGCAAGGAAAAAAGAUAAUGAAGAUGCUGAAAUAAACAUCAUAUUUCAGAUGAGGCUGCUGAGACAUGGAUGUUGGAUGUCUGUUUUGUUGUACGGAAGUUGUACACAGGAGAAUGAGAAUGGUGCUAUAGUGAAGCUAUAGUGAAGCUACUCUGUGAAGCCAAGGUGACCUGAGCAGCUUGCAGUUACUAGAGAACAUAAGGAAAUGGAUGGUGAUACCAGUCUUUCUGAUAAUAUGGGGGAGCUGAAAAGGUAAUUCAAACUGCAGUGAGUACUGAAGGAAUGAAAUAGACAUUUUGUCCCUACUAGCUUUCUCUCAGUAUUGGUAAUAUAUUUAGGAUUAAAGACAUUCAAAAAAUGUUAGGUACUUGCCAAAACUAUUCCAGUCCCCUCUAUAAGUUGUCAGUUUGCCACUCUGCCAUUCAAGUUUUGAGUCUGAUGCAGUAAAUAGAGAUGUUAUUUUCACUUUCCUUAUUCUCUGUGUAGCUUGCCAGCCUGCUUUGUUAGCCCCACAACGAACUCUGUGACAGGUCAAAAGGAAAGUUGGCAGCUUUACACCAGAAUUCCUCUCUUCCAAGUAAUUAGGCUAUUCCCAUCACUUUCCUGGAUGGCACUAGAGUCCCUGGCUCCUUUUGACUCUUGAGGAUUUUUCCCUCUUCUGUUGAGCCUUGGGACUUUUUGGUUCCUCUAAGAAGCAGCUAGAGGCAGGGCAGGACUGUGAGAGAAGGCAGAGAACUGCUGAAGAGU
rnacentral:lncRNA from 1 species